rnacentral:rRNA from 1 species
GGGCCCGCACAAGCGGUGGAGCAUGUGGUUUAAUUCGAUGAUACGCGAGGAACCUUACCAGGGCUUAAAUGUAGUGGGACAGGUCUAGAGAUAGACCCUUCUUCGGACUCAUUACAAGGUGCUGCAUGGUUGUCGUCAGCUCGUGCCGUGAGUGUCAGGUUAAGUCCUAUAACGAGCGCAACCCCUAUCGUUAGUUGCCAGCGGGUAAUGCCGGGAACUCUAGCGAAAACUGCCGGUGCAAACCGUGAGGAAGGUGGGGGAUGACGUCAAAUCAUCACGGCCCUUACGUCCUGGGCUACACACGUGCUACAAAUGGUCGGUACAGAGAGCAGCCACUACGCGAGUAG